GGAAGUGACAUCAUCAUCACAUGACGCAUGCAUGAUGAGCAACCUUAACCUCCUGCCUCUGGACCGGACCAGUGCAGUCUAGAUCAGCAUACUAGCUAGACAUGCUAUUACUAAUGCAUGGUGGAUGAUGGUGCAUUAUGCAUUAUACAUGUGAUGUGCAACAAAUGAACUUUUGAUGUAAUGGUCUAUUUAUAAUGCAGUCAUGCAUUUGCUGAGUCACAGAUACCAGCAAAAGCAGUUCUGUCUAGUGACUAGAUCUACUUUCCAGCUAGGCUUUUUAGAAGUAACUGGCUUUGACUUUUCCAAA